UUAUAAGAGACAGCAGUAGCCACGGUAAUACGGAGGGUGCAAGCGUUACUCGGAAUCACUGGGCGUAAAGGACGCGUAGGCGGAUUAUCAAGUCUCUUGUGAAAUCUAACGGCUUAACCGUUAAACUGCUUGGGAAACUGAUAAUCUAGAGUAAGGGAGAGGCAGAUGGAAUUCUUGGUGUAGGGGUAAAAUCCGUAGAGAUCAAGAAGAAUACCCAUUGCGAAAGCGAUCUGCUGGAACUUAACUGACGCUAAUGCGUGAAAGCGUGGGGAGCAAACAGGAUUAGAUACCCCGGUAGUCCCUGUCUCUUAUAC
rnacentral:rRNA from 1 species